ACGCUCGACACCUACGGGAGCAGCAGUGGGGAAUAUUGCACAAUGGGGGAAACCCUGAUGCAGCGACGCCGCGUGAGCGAAGAAGUAUUUCGGUAUGUAAAGCUCUAUCAGCAGGGAAGAAACUGACGGUACCUGACUAAGAAGCACCGGCUAAAUACGUGCCANCAGCCGAGUAUCNGNGCGGNNGNAG
rnacentral:rRNA from 1 species